rnacentral:rRNA from 1 species
CACGUAGGGCGCGAGCGUUGUCCGGAAUUAUUGGGCGUAAAGAGCUCGUAGGCGGCCUGUUGCGUCCGCUGUGAAAGCCCGGGGCUUAACCCCGGGUCUGCAGUGGAUACGGGCAGGCUAGAGGUAGGUAGGGGAGAAUGGAAUUCCCGGUGUAGCGGUGUAAUGCGCAGAUAUCGGGAGGAACACCGGUGGCGAAGGCGGUUCUCUGGGCCUUACCUGACGCUGAGGAGCGAAAGCGUGGGGAGCGAACAGG